AGCAGUCAUGAGAGUUUCUGUGUGAUGUGUUCUGCGUGACUCUACUGGGUGUUGUGAGAGGAGGUUAGUCAAGCUCAGAACUCCAAACAUGGUCAAUCUUGCAUUCUCCUCUGAAUUAGGAGAGAUAUUCAGACCAGAGUACAAAGAGAGAAACUUUUUGAAGUCAAAUUCAAGGGUAAGAUGCAUACUAAUUAUCACAAAAUGGAAUUGCUUUGCAGUUAGUAAUACAAUUAAAAUCUGAAGUUUUAAAAACAUACCAUGAACAGUCGAAGCAAUUUAUACUGUGUAAAUCUCAAGAUUAUAGAGGAAAAACAAGUCAAAAUGACAAGUUGGCCUUUAACUUGGGACAUGAUUAGAGAAAACACCAUUAUUAACAAUAUAGAAUUAAUCAAACUUUAUCUUUAGGAUUAAUUUGGAACAGAAAAUAAAAAAUAGUUCUUUACAGGCCCUUAAAAAUAUAAUUGUGAUGUUUAUCGUUGUUGUUGUUCUUGAGAGAGUGCCUUAUUUAGAAUGUCAUCCCAACUUGAUUCACUAAAUAUACCAUAAUUUACAACAUUUAUUGUAUGUGUAAUAAAGAGUAGUAUAAUGCCCCAGUGUAAGUGAGUGCCAGGGCAGGGAGGCAGGAGUGAGUGGUUGGCGGAACACCCUCAAAGAAUCAGGGGUAGAGGUAGGGAAUAGUGAAUUGGGAGGAGAGAACUGAGAGAGGGGAUAACAUUUGAAAUGUAAAUAAAGAAAAUAUUCAAUAAAAAAUAAGAAACUGUUAGAAAAAGAAGGAGUAGUAUGUAUGUAAUCCUAUGCUUUUGGACCUCAAUUCUUUACAUGAAUCUUCAACACAAGAUGGAGUUGAGACGUUAUUUGGUAUUGGUUGGGUUAUAAGUAAAGGAGAAUGUCCUUAAAAUGGUUGCUUUUUAAGAGAAAUAUAUAAUUGCCAAUCUUGGAAUCACUGAUAAUUUCAACGGCAUGGAACAGAUCAUAGUGCCCUAGAGAUAGUUGGAAUAGUGUUCCUCCCUGUUUUCUGAAGUUAGAAGUGAUUGUUUUCUCUGUUCUGAUUUUCCAUGCACUCUUUUGUAUAUUUAUUUCUAUUGAUAUCAUAAAACACAC